rnacentral:rRNA from 1 species
CCUACGGGCGGCAGCAGUGGGGAAUAUUGGACAAUGGGCGAAAGCCUGAUCUAGCCAUGCCGCGUGUGUGAAGAAGGCCUUCGGGUUGUAAAGCACUUUCGGUGGGGAAGAAAGCCUUGGGGCUAAUACCCUCGAGGAAGGACAUCACCCACAGAAGAAGCACCGGCUAACUCCGUGCCAGCAGCCGCGGUAAUACGGAGGGUGCGAGCGUUAAUCGGAAUUACUGGGCGUAAAGCGCGCGUAGGCGGUCUGAUAAGCCGGUUGUGAAAGCCCCGGGCUCAACCUGGGAACGGCAUCCGGAACUGUCAGGCUAGAGUGCAGGAGAGGAAGGUAGAAUUCCCGGUGUAGCGGUGAAAUGCGUAGAGAUCGGGAGGAAUACCAGUGGCGAAGGCGGCCUUCUGGACUGACACUGACGCUGAGGUGCGAAAGCGUGGGUAGCAAACAGGAUUAGAUACCCCUGUAGUC